rnacentral:lncRNA from 1 species
ACGAGAGAGGUUGUGUCUUGUGCUUCCAGUCCAGUUGUGGAGCCUGGGUUUUAGAAUUUAGUGGAUGUCCAAUCCAUCUGUGUUGUGGAAAAGGGCAGAGUAGUAAUUCAUGUUUUUAUUCUGAAAGAGAAUUUAAGAUUAUGAGGGUAUCUUAGAGAAUUCAUAUUGCUGAAAUUUCUUAGAAUUCUUUCCAUGUUAAAGGUUCAUAUUUUACAGAAAUAAUUCUUGGAUACCUUCAUUUAACAGUGCUCUUCAUUCUGGCUGCAAACUAAUAUUCCCUGUUAGGUUUAUAUUUAGGAAGCUCUUCAUUUGUUUUAACGGUUAUCACCCUAUCAUACAACUGUGUGUGAUCUGGCACUUCCAUUCUCCCUCUUAGAAUUUAGACUCCCCACACACUGGCAAGAAAGAAGUCUGGAAAGGAAUUCUAAGCUAUGCAAAACAAGUCACUGAUUUAUUUCACUUACACCUAGCUUAGAAGUCAUUCAUCUUCAUUUUUCACAUUAACCUUUGUAAUUCUUUUACAUUUCCUAAAAUUUCUAAUCUAUAAUUUGGGAACCAUUAUCUUAUAAAUGUUUGAAUACGGAUGCAUAGUAACUCAUCACUCCUCUGUGAGAGUUUCUCACAGAGCUCCAUUAAUUUAGUGAAAUUUUUAUGGUCAAGGGUCUGGCUUUCUGAUUGGAAAUCCAGAAACUAACAUGUGAAACUACUUCCUGACAUUGGAAAAUAAACUGGGUUUCCAAACUGUUAACUUAAAACAAGGUAUGUACGUAAAUUUUAAGUGCAUGGGAUGCUUGCUUUGGCCUGACUAGUGCAUCCUUACUCUUCUAGAAAGCUAUCUGGGAAUCUAAAUCAGAAGUUUGGCUGAUGUCACAUCAUCAUGGCAAGGAGAGCUAUAUUCUUCAAGUGUUCGAAGGAAACAGGAUGGGGUGUGCCUGGCAGGAUAUACCUGUCAGUAAGGGGUGUAUCUGCCAGACACCACCAUCUGCUUCUCAGGGCAGCUUCUUCGUGGCUAGGAGUUAGCGGAAUAAUGCUGUCAGUGUAUGUCUCUAAUUCCUCUAGUGCACCUCUCCCAGACUCUCUUCUGCUUGGCUUUCUCAUUAAUGUUAGCACACAUUUAUAGUCAAAACCUUCUUCCAUCCCGGCAGCUUGCUGCCCACCAUGGUGUUGUACAUACCUAACCAUAACCAUGUGUUGAUUUUAAUAUUUAAUGCCGAGGCUUAAUGGAAGGAAGAGUACCUAAUCAUGAUCCUCAGUUGUGACUGAGUGUAACCUCAGAUUUAGAAAAUAUCGGUCUUGGAGUUCCCGUCAUGGCUCAGUGGUUAACGAAUCUGACUAGGAACCACGAGGUGCAGGUUCGAUCCCUGGCCUCGCUCAGUGGGUUGGGGAUCUGUGGUGUAGGUCACAGACGCCGCUUGGAUUAAUGUUGCUGUGGCUGUGGUGUAGGCCAGCAGGUGUAGAUCCAAUUCAACCCCCAGCCUGGGAACCUCCAUAUGCCGUGGGUGGUGCAGCCCUUUAAAAAAAAAAAAAGAAAAUAUAGGUCAAGGUACUUAACAUUCAUCUUUACAACUAUCCAAGCAACAUUCCCAGCUUUUAAAAACCAGUAUAAGAAAAUUAUCUUUUUAGAUGCUAAAAGUGAAAAUUUUCUUUUUCUAGAAGUUAUGUGUAUGACCCUUGAAAAAAUGUAAAAGAAUUAGGCCCUCUCAUUCAGAAUCUCAAAAAGCAAUUCAAUCUAGGAAACUUGCAGUUUCCCAGAAAGGAUACAGUGUCCGGCAAGUAAGGCGAGUGCAGGAAUUGAUUAUGCGUCACCUAGUGACAGAGAGCAGAUGUUUUGUGAAUCUUUCCCUUAAGAAAUAAUUGUCAGAGGGAGGCAAUGAUUGAGUUGAUGCUGAUUGAGAUAGAGAUGAAGGGAUAUAGAGAAUCCUUUGAGACAUCCACAGACAGGGGAGAGGUUCCAGGGUAUAAUCUGAGGGGAAGAAUUGUUGCAGGUAGCAGAGACUAUUAGCAGGAGACAUGGAGAGGUACAGAGGGUUGAAUCGGAGCUGUAGCUGCCAGCCCUACGCCACAGCCACAGCAACACCAGAUCCCAGCCGCAAAUGCCACCUUCACCACAGCUCACAGCCACACCAGAUCCUUAACCCACUGAGCAAGGCCAGGGAUUGAACCCAAAUCUUCAUGGAUCCUAGUCAGGUUCAUUACCACUGAGCCACAACAGGAACUCCAGAAUAUUCUAGAACAGAAUUUUCAAAGCAUGCCAUCUCAGCAAAUAUUAUCAAGUGUGAAAAGUUACAUGGCAAUUGCCAUGUACUAGGCACUUGUUGAAGAUACUUUGUCCACAUGCUCCUCCCAACAACCUUAUUAGGAAUGUAAAAUUGUUAUUUUUUGCAUUUCCACAAAUGGAAAAGUUAGGCACAGAAAGUUAAGUAGUUUGCCCGUUAUGAUGCAGCCAUUCCUUAAUGGAUAGAACAUGAAGGCAGGUGGCCAUUUGGUGUUGCUAACCCCAAACUACCUGCGUGAAAACAAAUAGUAUCCAUGUAAGAACAAUAUCCUUACUGUGUAUAUGUGCUGUGUAUAGGGGUGCUUCAAGAAACACCCUUGUUCCCAAUUCCAACCAGGAUGUUUCCUUUCAUUUUCUCCCACGUAGAUGUCCUAGAGCCUCUCCUGGAGGAAAGUGAGGGUGUGGCUCUGAGAACACUAGCAGGCAUUAGCAAGAGUAGGGGGGGGGUACCAGAUGGGAACAGGAAAUUGGGGAGCCCCUAAUUUCCCCGGGGGAGGCAAGGAGGCUGUCACAGAACAGAAACUUGGUUGAACUUCCAAAAUCACAUCAAGUGAACUACCUAAACUUAUUAAAUAUAAAUCUUAGUUCCACCUGCUGUGUUCCAGGCUAGAAAUUGUCAGGUUUGGGAGUUCCCGUUGUGGUGCAGCAGAAAUGAAUCCGACUAGUAUCCAUGAGGAUAUGGGUUCAAUCCCUGGCCUCACUCAAUGGGUUCAUGAUCCAGCGUUGCCAUGAGCUGCGGUGUAUGUCACAAACAAGGCUUGGAGCCCAAGUUGCUGUGGCUGUGGCCGGCAGCUGUAGCUGGGAUUUGACCUCUAGCCUGGGAACUUCCAUAUGCCUUUUUUUUUAGGGUGCAGCCCUAAAAAAACAAACAAACAAAAAAACCACCAGUCACUUUUUCAGUGAGAUACAAAAGAAACACAAUAGAAAGAUCCCAGCCCUUUGCUAUAUAGUUAAAUUGAAAUGGCUCUUCAAUUCCUCAUCUCAUACACACCCUUCACUACUAAAUCUGAUGCCUUCCACUCCCCGGACCCUCCUGCACCCUAAACUUCCAUUAUUUUAUUGUUACAUAUGUGAACCAAUCUUUAGAGAGAUUCUAGUAGGGGCUCAACUGACUUUGCCAAAUGACACCUUUUUGACCCUAAAUUAUUUUUUAUUGCGAUGCCUGACCACACUUCAACUUUUGUCCCACAGUAUCUUAAAGAUGUUAUGGCCCCUUGCAGAAGUGAAAGUAAUUCAACUAGAGCCAGAUAGGGGAGAAAGAGGACAGUGGGUGAAAGUAAGACGCCAAAUAACCACCUGGAAUCUAUUGAGUAUCUGUACUGUGCCAUGUGCUAUGCCCUCUGCUAAGAACAGGGCCGUGUUGAUGGAAAGUAAAGGACUGCUCUUCAACUCUUCAAGGAGCUCACAGUUUAGCUCAGACGACUAAAUUCGGUUAACCCCUGAACAACAUGGGUUUGAACUGUGCAGGUUCACUUAAUAUGCAGAUUUUUUUCAAUACAAUUCGCCUUUGGUAUCUGCAGAUGUGGAAACUGCAGAUAUGAAGGUCUACUACCGGCCUUGAGUGUGGUGGAUUUUGGUAUCAUUGGCAGGUCCCUGAACCAAUCCUCCGCAAAUCCGAAGGGAUGCCUGUAAUUAGAUAACAGGUCAGAUGGCGUUACGUGCUCUGAAAGGAUGUCCAACGUGUUUUAAAAAUCAAAAUGGAUAUUUGUUUUUCUCCUUGAAAAGAAAUACCUUGUUGUUCAGACACACAGAGCACAGCAUUUAUUUCUAAAACAAAUAUACUAAUUACAAAGAGUCAAAAACUAUAGAAAGUAUAAAACAGAAACUUGCUAAAUUCUACCAUUCAUAGAAAACCACUCUUAUAAAUGCUGAGGUGUAUUCUUUUCUGCAUAUACUCACAUCUUUUUGCAAAAAAUGAACUCAAAUCACACAUGAUAUUUUGCUGUCUCCUGUGUUUUACUGAAUGAUUUCUAAGACCCUCUCUCUCUUUGAAGGGUAUAGAAUGACGUCAUCACGUAUAACGGCUGGUAUCGUUGUAUGACAGCAGUUACUUAUUUCACUCAUCCAGAUUAGACCUUCAUGUGUUUUCUAAUUUUUGUUAUUACUAUUGUAAAUACUUCUUCUUGAGAUGAAAAUUAUUCAAGUAUUGCUGGAUCUCAAGGUACCAUGCCAUUUAAAGUACCUGACAAGGCCUUAUCCUUUUUUUUUUUUUUCCCUUUUUUCAUCAGAAACUUUUAUUUCAAGUUAAAGUAUUUGGAGCAAAUCUGAUGUCUACUUUGGAGCUAUAUUUCUUCAUACAUUUGUUUUUUAAAUUUUGUAUGAUUGUUAUUGUUUUUAUUAUAGUUGAUUUAGUGUUCUGUCAAUUUCUACUGUACAAUAAAGUGACCCAGUUCUUUUUCUCACAUUAUCCUCCAUCAUGUUCCAUCAAAAGUGACUGGAUAUAGUUCCCUGUGCUAUAUUCUUAUUCUAGCUCCCUGAAUUGUGCACAUCAAGGGCAUGGAGAAAAUAGGGAUUUCUGAGAAAGGGUCUUGUCAGCUCAUCCCCUUCUUUAUUCUAAAAAAAUGAAAUAUAUGCUAACCCUUUCACCAGAUUUGGUUCCUCAUAAACAUUGAAAAUGUGCUCAUACCUGUCAGAGAAGUGUUUUCCUGCAGCUGAAUCAGUGAUUUUAUCUAAAGUCAACAAAAUAUUCUAUUAUGUACGCCUGUAGGUUAGGAAUAGGACAAAAUGAUCGAUAUAUUGUAAUCAGUGUAUGUGUAAGUUAUUGAUGUAUUGACUAAAUUUAGAAGUUGCGAAGUGGUGACUGGUCUUUAUUGAAUAUGCUUAUGGUAUAAAAUGCUAUUACAAAUGUUGGCGAGUUUAGUAAUGCUCUAAUAGGAGAUUAAAACUAAUUCCAGUUAUCUUCUUUACCUAAAUAUAGUGUUAGGAUCCUUGAAUUGAAAGGUGCAAAAUUUGCUUUGUCAGAUUAUUCACAUUAUUUAUAGUAUUUUAAUCUAAGUGCUUCUUUAAUGAAUAAAUGAAGAACUGUAUCAUUCUCUAUCAUUCUUUGGCACCUGCAUGUAGGAGAAAAAAAAACUUCUGUAUGAGACAGAGAAGCAGCUUAUAUAUUCUAAAGGAACCAAGGUGGAGUGGAGAGGGAGGAGCUCAGAAAAAUCAAGAUCUUUCCUCAAAUUACCUGAACCACUCUUCUGCAAAACACUUGUCCUAUUUACACUGUUAAGUGGUAGGCUCUCAGGGACAGGAUCUGCAGUGGCAGAGGAAGUAGAGAUUUGAAUUGUCUCUAUUUUUGGAGGGAUCAGAACCCACUGCUGAGGCGGGGGGCGGGGGUGAUACUCGGAAGUAGAGAUUGCAAGUUAAGUUUUCACCCUGAGUUUUACAGUAAAGGUUAAAAGUCAGUUGUCCACAGCUUAUUAUUUGAGAUGAGGGAAAAAUUAAAUGGUUAGACAUAAAUAUAAAGUUAAUGCUUCUAACUAAAAAAAAGAGAGAAGAACUUGGAGUGAUAGGAAAGGUUCAGUUGGUGAGAUACUGCUGAGUAUUUCUCUGCAUGCUAAGUCCAUGUUGAAUGAAUGAGUGAUGUUUCAUGGUGCUGAGAGGGGAUAGUGGGUUUGAGAACCUGAAACUGAAUCUUCCUCUAAGUGUGGAUGUUCAGCUUUUGAAGGAAUAGAUCCAGAACAUGGAAGAAGAGUAAGGUAAGCUUAGUUUAGGGGAGAACAAAUAAGGAAAAAAUAAGCUCAGAGAGGAAGAGAGGAGAGAAUGAAAUAAUUACAAUGAAAACCCUGUGUGGGGAGUUCCCUUCAUGGCUCAGUGGUUAACAAACCUGACUAGGAUCCAGGAGGUUGCUGGUUCGAUCCCUGGCCUCGUUCAGUGGGUUAAGGAUCCUGUGUUGCCCCGAGCUGUGGUGUAGGUCACAGAUGCACCUCAGAAGUAGCUCCGAUUCAACCCCUGGCCUGGAAACUUCCAUAUGCCACGGGUGCGGCCCUAAAAAGCAAAAAAAAAAAAAAAAAAAA